rnacentral:rRNA from 1 species
UACGGGGGGGGCAAGCGUUGUUCGGAAUUACUGGGCGUAAAGGGCUCGUAGGCGGCCAACUAAGUCAUACGUGAAAUCCCUCGGCUUAACCGGGGAACUGCGUCUGAUACUGGAUGGCUUGAGUUCGGGAGAGGGAUGCGGAAUUCCAGGUGUAGCGGUGAAAUGCGUAGAUAUCUGGAGGAACACCGGUGGCGAAGGCGGCUCUCUGGACCAGCACUGACACUGAGGCACGAAAGCGUGGGAGCAAACAGG